AUAUUCGAAAACUUUUUUGGUCGGAAGUCAUUCAGCUCAAAAAACAGGCAUGUGAAAUACAACCUCGAAAAUGCGAACAUCAAUAGAAUGACAUAAAUUCAAUAGAAUAAUAAUAAAUAACCGCAUAGAAUGACAACAUUACAUGAAAAACGCUAGGAAAAAAAUACACGGAUAUCCUUGAUUUCAAUGGAACAACUUUGCAAUUCAAUUUAAAAACCGACAACUUUUUAAUUACCGCCCUUCGGCUUGCUAAUUCCUCAUUACAAUUAAUAGAGGUUUUGCUGCGUUUUAUCUUAAAAAGCUAUAUGCUAGGCGCAUUAAAACCAACAGUUCUAUAGGGAAUAAUCUGUAGUAAGCACCUACCUUAAAAAUUUAAGUUAUUUUUGAAUUCAUUAUGUCUCCAGGCGCCAAGAGACAUCCCAAUACUCGCAAUUAUUUUAAAUACUUAAAGUAAAACCUGAAGCUCGCAAAAAAACGUAUCGUUUUAUGUGCUUAAAUUAGUGCCGCACAACGUCUGGUAGGUAUAUGGGUAAUACGUGCUAUGGUCCUCAAUAUGAAAAAAGCAGAAAACGACUACAACGAAGUGAAAAAGAAAUCAUAUUUGUUUUGCCCAUAGUAGUAGUUACGACUGAUUCAAAUAGGCAAUAUGUCGUUUACGACCCCGCUAAAAUUAUGGCGUCCGAUCAAGAUCAUCAUAGAUUGAGUACAGAAAGUGUUCAAAACAGUUCUAGAAGAGUAUUGAAACAUAAACCAACUCUGUUCCAACCGGUCAGGCUAUUGCGAAAAAUCAUGUACCGAUCUGGUUUACAAGAGCAAGACAACAGCACAGGGAACCAAGAGAGGAAAGAGCUGAAUACACCUUUAAAUUGCAUAAUCGAACAUUUUCCAACUACAGCUUUAGAACAAAAAGAUUUAAAUUCAUAAUCGUUAAGGAAAUAUGCCCUUACUGACCAGACGUAGAAAAUUAAUAAACAGAGCCUAAAUAACAAUAUAUUUUUUAGUCAAUUUGAUUAGAUUAGAUCUUUGAUUUCAAAGCGUUAUAUUAUUUCGUUAACCCAAAUAGUCUGCAGACUUUUAUAAUAAAGGCCAUAAAACAGAUGGCAACUAUACUAAUUCUAAGGUGUUUAAAACGUUUUUCAAAUUAAAAUAGAACAUGUUAUUUUCAUUGAAUUAUAGAGAGCGAUAGGUAGGAAAACUUAGCCAAAUUAAAACAGUUCCAAUCAAUUAAUUCAGGAUUUAUCCGUAAUACCCAAUAGUAAGAGGAUCAAUAAAUCGCGGUUAGUGCUGGCCGAUAUUACCGUUUAAUGCAACUCCAUAACAUAAAUAACUUGAAUAAGUGUAAUAUAAAUUACCAACUAUAGCAGAUUUGAUUCAUAAAAUGAAUUCACUUAAUUCAUUAGGCUGUUCAAAGCUUGAAUUAGAAUGUUAUCUAAAAUAAAUUUAAGUCUAAAUAGGAACAUUUGUUAUAUGUAUGAUACUUAUAUUAGUUGUAGAUUUUGCAAUAGUAAAUAAGUUAAAUUAUUAUAAUAAUUCUAAUAAAAUCUCCGUAAUAA
rnacentral:misc_RNA from 1 species